UCCGGUUGAUCCUGCCGGAGGUCACUGCUAUUGGGAUUCGACUAAGCCACGCGAGUCGAGAGGGUUCGGCCCUCGGCUGACGGCUCAGUAACACGUGGAUAAUCUGCCCUUAGGUGGAGGAUAAUCUCGGGAAACUGAGAAUAAUACUCCAUAGAUCUAGGAUGCUGGAAUGCAUCUAGAUUGAAAGCUCCGGCGCCUAAGGAUGAGUCUGCGGACUAUCAGGUUGUAGUCAGGGUAAAGACCUGACUAGCCUACGACGGAUACGGGUUGUGAGAGCAAUAACCCGGAGACGAUAUCUGAGACACGAUAUCGGGCCCUACGGGGCGCAGCAGGCGCGAAAACUUCACACUGUGCGAAAGCGCGAUGAGGGAAUCCCAAGUGUUUGCUCGUAAGAGUAAACUGUUUCUUUGUUUAAAACGCAGAGAGAGUAAGGGCUGGGUAAGACGGGUGCCAGCCGCCGCGGUAAUACCUGCAGCUCGAGUGGUGAUCAUUAUUAUUGGGCCUAAAACGUCCGUAGCCGGUUUAGUAAAUGCCUGGGUAAAUCGUGUAGCUUAACUAUACGACUUCCGGGUAGACUGCUAAACUUGAGACCGGGAGAGGCUAGAGGUACUCCUGGGGUAGAGGUGAAAUUCUGUAAUCCUAGGGGGACCACCAGUGGCGAAGGCGUCUAGCUAGAACGGGUCUGACGGUGAGGGACGAAGCCCUGGGGCACAAACCGGAUUAGAUACCCGGGUAGUCCAGGGUGUAAACGCUGCUUGCUUGAUGUUAGUUGGGCUCCGAGCCCAACUAGUGUCGGAGAGAAGUUGUUAAGCAAGCUGCCUGGGAAGUACGG
rnacentral:rRNA from 1 species